rnacentral:rRNA from 1 species
UACGUAGGGUGCGAGCGUUGUCCGGAAUUAUUGGGCGUAAAGGGCUCGUAGGCGGUCUGUCGCGUCGAAAGUGAAAACUCAGGGCUUAACCCUGAGCCUGCUUCCGAUACGGGCAGACUAGAGGUAUGCAGGGGAGAACGGAAUUCCUGGUGUAGCGGUGAAAUGCGCAGAUAUCAGGAGGAACACCGGUGGCGAAGGCGGGUCUCUGGGCAGUAACUGACGCUGAGGAGCGAAAGCGUGGGGAGCGAACAGG